rnacentral:rRNA from 1 species
GGGCUCGCAGGCGGUUUCUUAAGUCUGAUGUGAAAGCCCCCGGCUCAACCGGGGAGGGUCAUUGGAAACUGGGGAACUUGAGUGCAGAAGAGGAGAGUGGAAUUCCACGUGUAGCGGUGAAAUGCGUAGAGAUGUGGAGGAACACCAGUGGCGAAGGCGACUCUCUGGUCUGUAACUGACGCUGAGGAGCGAAAGCGUGGGGAGCGAACAGGAUUAGAUACCCUGGUAGUCCACGCCGUAAACGAUGAGUGCUAAGUGUUAGGGGGUUUCCGCCCCUUAGUGCUGCAGCUAACGCAUUAAGCACUCCGCCUGGGGAGUACGGUCGCAAGACUGAAACUCAAAGGAAUUGACGGGGGCCCGCACAAGCGGUGGAGCAUGUGGUUUAAUUCGAAGCAACGCGAAGAACCUUACCAGGUCUUGACAUCCUCUGACGCUGGUAGAGAUAGGACGUCCCCUUCGGGGGCAGAGUGACAGGUGGUGCAUGGUUGUCGUCAGCUCGUGUCGUGAGAUGUUGGGUUAAGUCCCGCAACGAGCGCAACCCUUGAUCUUAGUUGCCAGCAUUCAGUUGGGCACUCUAAGGUGACUGCCGGUGACAAACCGGAGGAAGGUGGGGAUGACGUCAAAUCAUCAUGCCCCUUAUGACCUGGGCUACACACGUGCUACA